rnacentral:rRNA from 1 species
AGCUAUAUAUUAAAGAGAUUUAUUUAUAUAAAUAGGUUUACUAGCUGAUUGUGUAUAUACGCAGGCCAAUGCUUCUAAUUUCAUAGCAAGCUCGCUUGCUAUGAAAUAGGCAACCAGUAAUAUAAGCAAGUGUGUGCUAUUUAUAGCGCUAGCCAAUAAACCUAUAAUUAUAUUAACUCUAAGAGAAAUUUAAUAAUAAACGAAGUGAAUUGAAAUAUCUUAGUAACUUUAGGAAAAGAAAUCAAAAGAGAUUCUAUGAUUAGCGUGAGCUAAAAUAGACUAGCCUAAAAAGUCAAAUGGUGGAUAAACUGUUUAAAUUAAAUGGGGAACCUUCCUCAAAGGCUAAAUAUAAUAUAUAAGCGAUAGUGGAAAGUACCGUGAGGGAACCAAAACAAAAACAGUGAUUUUAUAAGCAGUUCGGGAAAAUAAAAAAAAGUUAGAACGUACCUUUUGCAUAAUGGGUCACCAAGUUAACAUUAGAUGCGAGUAGGAGGGAGCUUUAUAAAAAAAAAUAUAUUUUUUUUUAUAGCCCCGUGCAUACGUAGUUAAACCGAGCGUUAAAAUAACGGUAAGUAUCUAAAGUUAGACCCGAAGCCUGGUGAUUUUACCAUAAUCAGGAUUAUAAAAGUCCGAACGGAAUAUUGUAGCAUAAAUAUCCGAAGAAUUAUGGUAGGUGUAGUGAAAGACAAUACUGACCAGGAUAGCUGGUUUUCUGCGAAACCUAUAACAGUAGGCAAUUUAAGUAUAAUAUCUUAGCAGGUACAGAAUUUAAUCUCAGACAAGACAUAAGGCUUAGCUUGCUAGCAAGUAAAGCUCAUGUUUUAUUUUGUACAAAUUGGGGGAUCAUGAAGAUUUUAUCAGUGAGUAUGUAGACUCGGAAUGGCAAAGAUAUAUCUUAAAUCAUCAGACAUAGAAUGAUAAGGUUGUAUGUCAAAAGGGAAACAGCCCAGAACAAGAGUUAAGGUUCCUAAAUUAUUAGUUGAGUGAAAUUAAGAAGGUUUUUAUUAAAGUCGACAAGGAGAUAGGCUUAGAAGCAGCCAUAAUUUUAUGACCUCGUAACAGAGCGCUUGUUAAGUUUUAAAAGCAUCGAAAAUUUAUCGGAUCUAAACAAUAUACCGAAACCUUGUCCAUAUUAUUUUAUAAUUAAAGCUUAAUUAUAAUUAAAUGGGGUAGCAGAACGUUGAGCUAAAUUAAGAUUUUUAUUUUUUAAAUGAAAUUAUAAUAAUUUAACUCAAGUGAUAAUGGUGACAUGAGUAACUAAAAGAAAAAAUAAAAUUUUUCCGCCUAAAGCUUAUGGAUGUAAUUAAGUAACGGCCUCUAAGUUUAUAUUAUCUAAAGAUUUAAACGAUGAGAUAAUCUUUUGUACUAAGGACGACAUUUUAAGUGAAAAAUGUACUGGAAAAAUAGUACUAAAUUAAUGGCUAUAGCUAAUUAGUUAGCUAUAGCUAUAAAUGAAAAGUAACCGUACCUAGAAUCUGAAACAAGUAAGCUAGUAGAGAAUACGAAGGCGUAAAUGAGCUAACAAUCAUAAAGGAACUCGGCAAAUUGACUACCGUAACUUCGGGAUAAGGAGAGCUCAUUAUUCUUGAUUAAUAUCAGGUAAAGAGGAAGAAGCAUGAAAUAGUGUUGUACGACUGUUUAAUUAAAACACAGCACUUUGCUGAAAGAUUAAAAAUCUAAGUAUAGAGUGUGAUGUCUGCCCGGUGCCGGCUGGUUAACAGAUAUAAUUAAAUAUACUAAUAUUUGAUGUAGACGGAAACCCCGGUUAAAGGCGGCCUUAACGUGAGGGUCCUAAGGUAGCGAAAUGCCUUGGCCGUUAAAUGCGGUCUUGCAUGAAUGAUGUAACGAUACAACAGCUGUCUCUAUGAUUGACUCAGUGAAAUUGGAAUAGCUGUGCAGAUACAGUUUACCUCUAGUUAGACGAGAAGACCCUAUGCAGCUUUACUGUCACUAAUUAUAGAGUAUGAUAAACAAUUUUCAGAUUAUAAGGUAAUUGACGGCUAGCUUGUUCAGCAAGCUAGCUCUAUGACAAUGAGAAUCCUUUAUUUUUUUUUCAUAUGAAUGAAUUGGUUUAGGAUUAUGAGUAGGUAGCUGCUUCUGCUACUUGGCGCAAGCAUUGCUUGCGUCAAGUGUCUGAAGUAUGCAUUCCAGCUCAUGCAUAGUAAAUCAACCUAAUUCAGCUUAUUUUCCUUUCUGCCAUAAGCGCAUAAUGAUAGAUUUAACUUAAAUUUUGAUUUAUGCCAGCUGCAGAAAUAGAUAAGUACCCUUGGCUAAGGAACUAUCGCUAGGGGACAGUUUAUGUGGGGCACAGACCCUGUAAAGAGUAAACAGGAGUGUCUAAUAAUUUAUAAUUAUUUUGUUUGCGAUUUAAGAUAGUGAAACUAUUUUUAAUCAUAUAAAAUUAUUUAUAUGUACAUUCGUUGUAUAUAUAUUUAAAAAAAGGUAGGAUUUUCACUAUAUAGAAAUUAGAGAUAAUAAAAAUAUUAAGAAUAUACCUUUCAGGUAGCACUAAUAUUUUUUAGCUAUUAAGACAGGCUAUCAAGCUAGGCUCUAAUAGUUAUGUAUUAAUUAUCUAAAAAGCUCAACGGCUAAAUCUUGCCUUACUGUUUGAUUAUCAACAAAUCUUACAGUUGCGUAAGCAGGGCAUAGGAUCACAAGAUGCAACAAGGAAAGAUCUUGGAUUAUUGGAAAAGCUACGCUAGGGAUAACAGGCUAAUUUGCGCAAGAGUGUACAAAAUGAGUGCGCGGUUUGGCACCUCGAUGUCGGCUUAACUUAUCCUCAUGGAUGCAGGAACUAUGUAGGGUGCGACUGUUCGUCGAUUAAAAAGUUACAUGAGCUGGGUUAAAUACGUCGUGAGACAGUAUGGUUUCUAUCUUCUAGGGGGAAUUAGAAUAUAAUAAGAACUAACUUUUGUACGAAAGGAACAAGAAGAAUUUAAUUUGUAAAAGGGUUAAAUAAUAGUUACUAACCUAUGGUUUACCUGUUGUCUAUGUGCCCAAAUAUUAAAAUAUAUAUAUGGAGGAAGCUCCUUAAGAGCUUCCCCCGCAAAUUAUAUAUAUCUGUAUAGCUAGCCUGCGGACUCCGGUUAUGCCUGAGUUUGGCAAGCUAAAGCUAUACAUAGGGAUGUUUCUUUCACUAAGAUAAAUAUAUAGCAUAGGCACGGCAGGAAAGCUAAGUUGGUUAAGGAUAAGUGCUGAAAGCAUAUAGGCACGAAGCUUAUCUUAAGAUAUUUCUUAAAUAUACGUAAAAUAUUAUUACGAAGGAUGUAAUAUAGGCUUUAUCCGUACGAAUCAGGAGAUUUUUAAGAAUAAAGUACUAAUUUUAUAAAUAACUAUUUAU